GCAUCGAUAGCUCAGUGGCAGAGCGGUGGGGCGUUUACCCAUGCGGCCCGGGUUCGAUCCCCGGUGGAUGUA